ACGGCAAGGGACGAAAGCUAGGGGCACGAACCGGAUUAGAUACCCGGGUAGUCCUAGUCGUAAACGAUACUCGCUAGGUGUCGGCCACGGUGCGACCGUUGUCGGUGCCGUAGGGAAGCCGUGAAGCGAGCCACCUGGGAAGUACGGCCGCAAGGCUGAAACUGAAAGGAAUUGGCGGGGGAGCACCACAACGGGUGGAGCUUGCGGUUUAAUUGGAUUCAACGCCGGAAAUCUUACCGGGACCGACAGCAAUAUGAAGGCCAGGCUGAAGACUUUGCCGGAUUAGCUGAGAGGUGGUGCAUGGCCGUCGUCAGUUCGUACAGUGAAGCAUCCUGUUAAGUCAGGUAACGAGCGAGACCCUCCGGUUGAUCCUGCCAGAGGUUACUGCUAUCGAGGUUCGACUAAGCCAUGCGAGUCGAAUGUAGCAAUACAUGGCGUACUGCUCAGUAACACGUGGACAACCUGCCCUUAGGUUGGGUAUAAACCCGGGAAACUGGGUAUAAUCCCCUAUAAGUCUCGGCUGCUGGAGUGCACCGAGAUUAAAAGCUCCGGCGCCUAAGGAUGGGUCUGCGGCCUAUCAGGUAGUAGUGGGUGUAGCGUACCUACUAGCCUACGACGGGUACGGGUUGUGAGAGCAAGAGCCCGGAGAUGGAUUCUGAGACACGAAUCCAGGCCCUACGGGGUGCAGCAGGCGCGAAAACUUUACAAUGCUGGCAACAGCGAUAAGGGAACCUCGAGUGCCAGGUUACAAAUCUGGUGUCAUGCCUAAAAAGCAUUUCAUAGCAAGGGCCGGGCAAGACCGGUGCCAGCCGCCGCGGUAACACCGGCGGCUCGAGUGGUAACCGUUAUUAUUGGGUCUAAAGGGUCUGUAGCCGGCCGGAUAAGUCUCUUGAGAAAUCUGGCAGCUUAACUGUCAGGCUUUCAGGAGAUACUGUCUGGCUCGAGGCCGGGAGAGGUGAGAGGUACUUCAG
rnacentral:rRNA from 1 species